UACUUCCCAGGUGGCUCGCUUCACGGCUUCCUACGGCACCGACAACGGUCGCACCGUGGCCGACACCUAGCGAGUAUCGUUUACGGCUAGGACUACCCGGGUAUCUAAUCCGGUUCGUGCCCCUAGCUUUCGUCCCUUGCCGUCAGGUCCGUUCUGGUGAGACGCCUUCGCCACUGGUGGUCCUUCAAGGAUUACAAGAUUUCACCCCUACCCCUGAAGUACCUCUCACCUCUCCCGGCCUCGAGCCAGACAGUAUCUCCUGAAAGCCUGACAGUUAAGCUGCCAGAUUUCUCAAGAGACUUAUCCGGCCGGCUACAGACCCUUUAGACCCAAUAAUAACGGUUACCACUCGAGCCGCCGGUGUUACCGCGGCGGCUGGCACCGGUCUUGCCCGGCCCUUGCUAUGAAAUGCUUUUUAGGCAUCUCGACAGCCAGAUUUGUAACCUGGCACUCGAGGUUCCCUUAUCGCU
rnacentral:rRNA from 1 species